rnacentral:lncRNA from 1 species
AUGUUGUUAAGAGAAAAUUGGUGCCAUCGUGCCCAUAUUCCCUCGCCUGCUAGAAUGGACCCAAAGCCAUCUUCUGUUGGGAUGUUUGGGAGCAGAGGCUGUAUCAUUUACAAGCUGUUCCAGUGUGCAGGAGUCCCUGGAGCAUACUUCAUCAAGGCAAGGGUGUGCGAAGAUGCCCCAGGUAGAAUUACAAAGAAAGACAGCCAAAGAGAAUACAGGACAACCUUUGUCAUUGGUGAUGGGGAUCUGAUUCUACUUGCCUGUGUUCUUAUGUACAGAAGUUACACUGAAGAUGCCAUUUGCACAAUUGGAGGAACACCUUUGGAGGAAGGGAAGAUUCCUAUAAGCUCAAACUUGCCAAAGUUUGGCAUUUUUCAUCAUUGCAUCCUCAUUUUCAUAAAGCUGAAUAAGCCCAGCAGCCCGACGGUCUGAUUAGGGGCUACAGGUCUUUGUCUGCUUGGUAGAGUUGAUGUUAUUGCAUUUGAACACUCCACCAGAAAUGUCAAAUUUCAAAACAAAGGGAAAAAAGAGGGAUUUCCAAAAGCAGCAGGUUUGGGACAUUGUCGGAUUUAAGUCUAGGUGAGAUGCCAGCUUGAGAGCUGCAACAUAGGCAUUAGCUUCAUCAGGAUCAAUAUUCUUUUUGAGCUCCUCAACACUGAAGAAAUCCUAUAGAAAUUUCUGGAUGUGGGGGAUAUGAAUGAAACCACCCAUCAAUAUGAGGUCUUGAAUCUCUGACAGAUCUAAUUUACUUGUAAAGGUUAAAAUUCAUGGUUGGACAAUGCUUAUAUUAUGUGGUAGUCAAUAUUUAUUAUAUCUCAAGUCAAAUUUAUUUACAAAAAUAUACAAAUAGAGAAGAAACGAUAAAGAAGAGAAAUGUGAAGGGGUUAGAGAGGUUUUCUAUCCUAUCAACUGAAAGGUUUUGCUCUGGGUCUGCUUAAAAGCUCUCAACCAGGAAAGCUGGUGAUGAGUAACCACGUGGCAUCCUCCAAGGUGGAAGCUAGUCUCUUAGGAAACUAGGAAAGGCGUCAACCUUUUCAUUCACCUAACAAAGUAGUCCAGGAGUCAGAGUCUAAGUUGAAUCCCAUGAUCCAAGCCACAUUCUCCAGCAAAGCUCCCUAGAAGACUCCCCAGUCAGAAGACUAUCUCUAAAAGACAAUCUCUUCAGACUAUCUUCUCAAAGACAAUCUGCUCUGAGGGAGUUUGGGACUUGCUUUUAUGGUGACUUCUUCUCCGUGCCCCUCUUCACAAAGGGCUAUAACAGUUUCUAAAUUGUCUGGCACUGCCCAGGGAGCAGUCUGUGGGAUCCACUUCUUACCUUCUGAAGGUUAAGUUCUCAUCUAAGCGUGUGAAUUUUCUAAAUCUCACCUUCUAGAGAGGUGAAUACUCAUAGGCUGUGAAUUCACAAAGUUGGUUUGUGAGCUCCUCCACCAAGUUCAAGUUUGUGUUGAUUCAACUAAGUAGGGGUACUCAGGAUAGACAAAGGGAAUAAAGGAUUCCCUUUCACAAAUGUAAACUCA